AUUGAACGCUGGCGGCAGGCUUAACACAUGCAAGUCGAGCGGGGAGAUGUAGCUUGCUACAUUUCCUAGCGGCGGACGGGUGAGUAAUGCUUAGGAAUCUGCCUAUUAGUGGGGGACAACGUUUCGAAAGGAACGCUAAUACCGCAUACGCCCUACGGGGGAAAGCAGGGGAUCUUCGGAUCUUGCGCUAAUAGAUGAGCCUAAGGCAGAUUAGCUAGUUGGUGGGGUAAAGGCCUACCAAGGCGACGAUCUGUAGCGGGUCUGAGAGGAUGAUCCGCCACACUGGGACUGAGACACGGCCCAGACUCCUACGGGGGGCAGCAGUGGGGAAUAUUGGACAAUGGGGGGAACCCUGAUCCAGCCAUGCCGCGUGUGUGAAGAAGGCCUUUUGGUUGUAAAGCACUUUAAGCGAGGAGGAGGCUCUUCUAGUUAAUACCUAGGAUGAGUGGACGUUACUCGCAGAAUAAGCACCGGCUAACUCUGUGCCAGCCGCCGCCGUAAAAC
rnacentral:rRNA from 1 species